GAUGAACGCUGGCGGCGUGCCUAAUACAUGCAAGUCGAGCGAACGGACGAGAAGCUUGCUUCUCUGAUGUUAGCGGCGGACGGGUGAGUAACACGUGGAUAACCUACCUAUAAGACUGGGAUAACUUCGGGAAACCGGAGCUAAUACCGGAUAAUAUUUUGAACCGCAUGGUUCAAAAGUGAAAGACGGUCUUGCUGUCACUUAUAGAUGGAUCCGCGCUGCAUUAGCUAGCUGGUAAGGUAACGGCUUACCAAGGCAACGAUGCAUAGCCGACCUGAGAGGGUGAUCGGCCACACUGGAACUGAGACACGGUCCAGACUCCUACGGGAGGCAGCAGUAGGGAAUCUUCCGCAAUGGGCGAAAGCCUGACGGAGCAACGCCGCGUGAGUGAUGAAGGUCUUCGGAUCGUAAAACUCUGUUAUUAGGGAAGAACAUAUGUGUAAGUAACUGUGCACAUCUUGACGGUACCUAAUCAGAAAGCCACGGCUAACUACGUGCCAGCAGCCGCGGUAAUACGUAGGUGGCAAGCGUUAUCCGGAAUUAUUGGGCGUAAAGCGCGCGUAGGCGGUUUUUUAAGUCUGAUGUGAAAGCCCACGGCUCAACCGUGGAGGGUCAUUGGAAACUGGAAAACUUGAGUGCAGAAGAGGAAAGUGGAAUUCCAUGUGUAGCGGUGAAAUGCGCAGAGAUAUGGAGGAACACCAGUGGCGAAGGCGACUUUCUGGUCUGUAACUGACGCUGAUGUGCGAAAGCGUGGGGAUCAAACAGGAUUAGAUACCCUGGUAGUCCACGCCGUAAACGAUGAGUGCUAAGUGUUAGGGGGUUUCCGCCCCUUAGUGCUGCAGCUAACGCAUUAAGCACUCCGCCUGGGGAGUACGACCGCAAGGUUGAAACUCAAAGGAAUUGACGGGGACCCGCACAAGCGGUGGAGCAUGUGGUUUAAUUCGAAGCAACGCGAAGAACCUUACCAAAUCUUGACAUCCUUUGACAACUCUAGAGAUAGAGCUUUCCCCUUCGGGGGACAAAGUGACAGGUGGUGCAUGGUUGUCGUCAGCUCGUGUCGUGAGAUGUUGGGUUAAGUCCCGCAACGAGCGCAACCCUUAAGCUUAGUUGCCAUCAUUAAGUUGGGCACUCUAAGUUGACUGCCGGUGACAAACCGGAGGAAGGUGGGGAUGACGUCAAAUCAUCAUGCCCCUUAUGAUUUGGGCUACACACGUGCUACAAUGGACAAUACAAAGGGCAGCGAAACCGCGAGGUCAAGCAAAUCCCAUAAAGUUGUUCUCAGUUCGGAUUGUAGUCUGCAACUCGACUACAUGAAGCUGGAAUCGCUAGUAAUCGUAGAUCAGCAUGCUACGGUGAAUACGUUCCCGGGUCU
rnacentral:rRNA from 1 species